rnacentral:rRNA from 1 species
AAUAGAUACCCUGGUAGUCCACCCGUAAACGUUGGGAACUAGUUGUGGGGUCCUUUCCACGGAUUCCGUGACGCAGCUAACGCAUUAAGUUCCCCGCCUGGGGAGUACGGCCGCAAGGCUAAAACUCAAAGGAAUUGACGGGGACCCGCACAAGCGGCGGAGCAUGCGGAUUAAUUCGAUGCAACGCGAAGAACCUUACCAAGGCUUGACAUACACCGGAAACGGCCAGAGAUGGUCGCCCCGCAAGGUCGGUGUACAGGUGGUGCAUGGUUGUCGUCAGCUCGUGUCGUGAGAUGUUGGGUUAAGUCCCGCAACGAGCGCAACCCUCGUUCUAUGUUGCCAGCACGUAAUGGUGGGAACUCAUGGGAUACUGCCGGGGUCAACUCGGAGGAAGGUGGGGAUGACGUCAAAUCAUCAUGCCCCUUAUGGUCUUGGGCUUCACGCAUGCUACAAUGGCCGGUACAAAGGGCUGCAAUACCGUGAGGUGGAGCGAAUCCCAAAAAGCCGGUCCCAGUUCGGAUUGAGGUCUGCAACUCGACCUCA